GAGGUGAAAUUCGUAGAUAUCAAAGGNAACGCCGGUGGCGAAAGCGGGUCGCUGGGCUUGUCCUGACGCUGAGAUGCGAAAGCGUAGGUAGCGAAACGGGAUUAGAUACCCCCGGUAGUCUACGCCGUAAACGAUGCGCACUAGAUACGAGGAUCUCUGACGGUUUUCGUGUCGAAGCAAAAGUGUUAAGUGCGCCGCCUGGGGAGUACGGCCGCAAGGCUAAAACUCAAAGGAAUUGACGGGGGCUCACACAAGCGGUGGAGCAUGUGGAUUAAUUCGAAGCAACGCGAAGAACCUUACCUGGGUUUGACAUGUGCGGAUGCCCUCCUGGAAACGGGAGUAAGCUGCCUUCGGGUGAAACGUACACAGGUGCUGCAUGGCUGUCGUCAGCUCGUGCUGUGAAGUGUCGGGUUAAGUCCCUUAACGAGCGAAACCCUUAUCGCUAGUUGCCAGCGGGUCAUGCCGGGAACUCUAGCGAGACCGCCGGCGUUAAGCCGGAGGAAGGUGGGGAUGACGUCAAGUCCUCAUGGCCCUUAUGUCCAGGGUGUCACACGUGCUACAAUGGGAUGUACAGAGCGACGCGAGACCGCGAGGUGGAGCAAAUCGCAAAAAACAUUCCUCAGUUCGGAUUGGAGUCUGCAACUCGACUCCAUGAAGUUGGAAUCGCUAGUAAUCGCGUAUCAGCCAUGACGCGGUGAAUGUGUUCCUGAGCCUUGUACACACCGCCCGUCAAGUCAUGGAAGCUGGGAGCACCCGAAGUCCGCUUAGCUAACCUUUAGGAGGCGGCGGCCGACGGUGAGUUCGGUGACUGGGACUAAGUCGUAACCAAGGUAA
rnacentral:rRNA from 1 species